GAUGAACGCUGGCGGCGUGCCUAACACAUGCAAGUCGAACGGGAAACUACCUUCGGGUAGUGGAGAGUGGCGAACGGGUGAGUAACACGUAGCUAAUCUACCCUUAAGACGAGGAUAACUAUUGGAAACAGUAGCUAAUACUCGAUAAGCUCACAUCGAAUAGAGAGAUGUGAGAAAAGUUCAGGCGCUUAAGGAUGAGGCUGCGAACCAUCAGCUAGUUGGUAAGGUAAAGGCUUACCAAGGCGACGACGGUUAGGGGACCUGAGAGGGUGACCCCCCACACUGGAACUGAGACACGGUCCAGACUUCUACGGAAGGCAGCAGUGAGGAAUAUUGCACAAUGGGCGAAAGCCUGAUGCAGCGACGCCGCGUGGGUGAAGACGGAUUUCGGUCUGUAAAGCCCUUUUCUAGGUGACGAGAGUGGACGGUAGCCUAGGAAUAAGUCUCGGCUAACUACG
rnacentral:rRNA from 1 species